rnacentral:misc_RNA from 1 species
UCUCCGUAGGUGAACCUGCGGAGGGAUCAUUACCGAGUGAGGGCUCACGCCCGACCUCCAACCCUUUGUAAUCCAUACCAUGUUGCCUCGGGGGCGACCCUGCCGUUCGGCGCGGCGCCCCCGGAGGCUCAUCAAACACUGCAUCUCUGCGUCGGAGUCUUAAUGAAUUUAAACAAAACUUUUAACAACGGAUCUCUUGGUUCUGGCAUCGAUGAAGAACGCAGC